GUACACUCCUACGGGAGGCAGCAGUGGGGAAUUUUGGACAAUGGGCGAAAGCCUGAUCCAGCCAUGCCGCGUGCAGGAUGAAGGCCUUCGGGUUGUAAACUGCUUUUGUACGGAACGAAACGGCCUUUUCUAAUAAAGAGGGCUAAUGACGGUACCGUAAGAAUAAGCACCGGCUAACUACGUGCCAGCAGCCGCGGUAAUACGUAGGGUGCAAGCGUUAAUCGGAAUUACUGGGCGUAAAGCGUGCGCAGGCGGUUAUGUAAGACAGUUGUGAAAUCCCCGGGCUCAACCGGGGAACUGCAUCUGUGACUGCAUAGCUAGAGUACGGUAGAGGGGGAUGGAAUUCCGCGUGUAGCAGUGAAAUGCGUAGAUAUGCGGAGGAACACCGAUGGCGAAGGCAAUCCCCUGGACCUGUACUGACGCUCAUGCACGAAAGCGUGGGGAGCAAACAGGAUUAGAAACCCCGGUAGUCCCAU
rnacentral:rRNA from 1 species